AACACCGUGACGAUCACCAAAGUUAAGCAACGUCGAGCCUUGUUAGUACUUUGGUGAGUGACCGCUUGGAAAUACCAGGUACUGUAA